rnacentral:rRNA from 1 species
AUGCAUAAUACUAUUCCUUGUCGGGUUGCUCUGGCGAAUCGUCAUAUUAAAGUGAGCGGGCAAUGCCCAGUAUGUGAGAUUGGAGCGGAAGAUAUUAAGCAUCUCCUGUUCAAGUGUAGCCGAGCAAAGCACGUAUGGCAAGCACCGGGUAUUGAUGACUUAAUUGAGAAAUUUUGUCUUGCUCAUCGCCCUGGACAGCAUAUUCUAGAGGAAUUGUUGUACCCAAGCCCUGGUCAGUCUAUGAUUUUGGGACAAGCCCCAUUGGCAGAGCUUGUUGCAGUGGCAUGUUGGUAUUUAUGGUGGGAAAGAAGGCAAAUUAGUCGUAAUAUUCAGGUGCAGUCCCCAGAAAGAUCUGCGAUAGCAAUCAAGGUGUUAUCUUCAAACUUCAGGUCUGCUACCGUUCCUAAUGCAAGGGUGAGAAAGGAGAGAUGGGCUCCUCCAACAGGUGAUUGUGUCAAGAUAAAUGUUGAUGCUUCCUUUGACCCAGACAUUCUGAGGGGAACUACGGGUGCAGUCAUUCGUGAUAAAAAGGGGAAGUUCAUUGCCGCGUGUAAUGCACGUUUGGAUAUGGUUCAAGAUGUUUUGUCGGCUGAAGCUUUGGCGCUCAAACACGGCCUGUUCUUAGCUGAAUCCAUGGGUUGUAAUAGAGUCGUUGUGAGUUCUGAUAAUAGUGAAUUAAUAGAAAUUAUGAAGAACGAGAGGCCCCCUACAGGUAUUGCUGCGGCGAUUUAUCAUGAUUGUUUUUCUAUGGAGUCAGACUUUGUUAGGGUUAAGUAUGAGCAUGCAAAUAGGGAAACAAAUUCUAUAGCUCAUGAACUGGCACAGUUAGCUAAAUUCCAGACCAGUAGGGUCUGGAUGGACGAUCCUCCGCCCUCUAUUGUACCUCUCAUGGCGAAUGAUGUAACAUUAUUAUCUAUUGAAUAA